rnacentral:rRNA from 1 species
GUAGGGAAUCUUUCACAAUGGACGAAAGUCUGAUGGAGCAACGCCGCGUGAGUGAAGAAGGUUUUCGGAUCGUAAAACUCUGUUGUCAGAGAAGAACGUGUGUGAGAGUAACUGUUCACGCAGUGACGGUAUCUGACCAGAAAGUCACGGCUAACUACGUGCCAGCAGCCGCGGUAAUACGUAGGUGGCAAGCGUUGUCCGGAUUUAUUGGGCGUAAAGGGAACGCAGGCGGUCUUUUAAGUCUGAUGUGAAAGCCUUCGGCUUAACCGAAGUCGGGCAUUGGAAACUGGGAGACUUGAGUGCAGAAGAGGAGAGUGGAACUCCAUGUGUAGCGGUGAAAUGCGUAGAUAUAUGGAAGAACACCAGUGGCGAAAGCGGCUCUCUGGUCUGUAACUGACGCUGAGGUUCGAAAGCGUGGGUAGCAAACAGGAUUAGAAACCCCUGUAGUCC